CGGCGGACGGGUGAGUAAUGCCUAGGAAUCUGCCUGGUAGUGGGGGAUAACGUUCGGAAACGGACGCUAAUACCGCAUACGUCCUACGGGAGAAAGCAGGGGACCUUCGGGCCUUGCGCUAUCAGAUGAGCCUAGGUCGGAUUAGCUAGUUGGUGGGGUAAUGGCUCACCAAGGCGACGAUCCGUAACUGGUCUGAGAGGAUGAUCAGUCACACUGGAACUGAGACACGGUCCAGACUCCUACGGGAGGCAGCAGUGGGGAAUAUUGGACAAUGGGCGAAAGCCUGAUCCAGCCAUGCCGCGUGUGUGAAGAAGGUCUUCGGAUUGUAAAGCACUUUAAGUUGGGAGGAAGGGCAGUUGCCUAAUACGUAACUGUUUUGACGUUACCGACAGAAUAAGCACCGGC
rnacentral:rRNA from 1 species